CUUCCUGUUGGAUUUAGGUUUUUGGUGUCAAUGGGUGAUUUUCAGAUCUCGAUGAGACAAACGCAUCCACAUCAAUUUGGUCUCUCUGCGACAUUCCUAAUGGUUGCAAUGGCUAUUUUACUGUUUCUAGGUGGCGCUAGAGAGCAGAUGGCGUUAUGGGGUUAAUUUUUUUAUUUUAUCAAGUGGUCCACCGGUCCCGAUGUCCGUGCCAAAUUUGGUGAGUUUUUGUGCACGUUUAGGGGGUCAAAUUAGUGCUCAAGUGCGUCAGUAAAAUAAUAAUAGGGGAAACAAACGGACGAAGAACAAUAGAGGCCUUGCCCUCGGGCAAGGUGGCCUCAGUUGAGGCCACCUCGCCCGCGGGCUCGGUCCCUAAAUAUUAGUUUAAUCAAAACCAAUUUUCAGGAUGAGGGGACAGAGUUUAACCUGGGUGAGGCUUGAGAAUGUGAUGGAAACGAAAGCUGCUAUGAAUGUCCUUUAAUAUUUCAACUAGAAAAUGCUUUAACUGUUCCUCUGGUGUCGUGCCGUGGUCCAGUCUCAGGAGUGAAUCACUUCUUCAUUUGGCCAGUGGUGCUCUGGAGGUUACAGAAAUCCAUUUGGAGGUUUACAGGUUCAAAUGUGGCUUUUUGCUGCUUUUUGAGUUUCAUUGACUUUUCAUGACACAGUGAGGCCUGAUGACUUUACGGAAUGAUUUCCAUCACUGUGGAUCGAAGGCAGUGUUCGGGGGGCGCAUGGGGCGGGGCCAGGUUUCACCUUAGUGUCUCUCUGCUCAGCCGGAGUUGAGGAGAGAAAGAAAUAAAUAACAUCAAACAGUCAAAGUGUUUCCAAACUCAACCAACAUGAGUGUAUAUAGAAUACAGAGGAAUUCUUCACUUCGCUCCUCAGGUUUGCUGUUCUUAUUGUAGAACUUUCUAUUACUCCUGUCACUAAUUUCUCUUUCAAAAUGUGUGAAAGCAAUGCUCUUGUCUGUGCAAUCUAUUUUCAUACCGUUAUUUAAGUUUUUUCUGCCAACGCUUCAACUCAUUCAUGAUAUUAUUUGACACGGUAAUAAAAAGGUUCUUUUCCAA